CCCUUAGAUGUCCGGGGCCGCACGCGCGCUACCCUGAAGGAAUCAGCGUGGCUUUCUCCCUGACCCGAAAGGGUUGGGAAACCCGUUGAAUCUCCUUCGUGAUAGGGAUUGGGGCUUGAAAUUGUUCCCCAUGAACGAGGAAUUCCCAGUAAGCGCGAGUCAUAAGCUCGCGUUGAUUACGUCCCUGCCCUUUGUACACACCGCCCGUCGCUACUACCGAUUGAACGGUUUAGUGAGGGCCUCGGAUUGGUCUCGGCCCGCUCUUUACCGGGCGGCGCCGUUGGUCGAGAAGACGCUCGAACUUGAUCGUUUAGAGGAAGUAAAAGUCGUAACA
rnacentral:rRNA from 1 species